rnacentral:lncRNA from 1 species
CACCUCAUUCAUUUCCUUCCCUUCGACCUUCUCUCCACCAGCUUAUUAUUUUUUCUUUGAAAAGAACAAAACUCUUUCUCUCCAACAGCUAAAAAUGAAACUCAACAUAUCCAUGGAAAAAUAAUCCCAAUAGUUUUUCAAACUAAAACAACUAAAUCCAAUCCAAGAGUCUCAAUUUACAGCUCACAGAUAUCAAUAAUUUAUUUGGAUCUACAGCUCAAUAAUAUCCAAUCUAAGAGUUUUUAUAAAUCUGAUUCAUAUCAAUAAACUUUUUCUCUCAGUUUUCAAUUUAUUUAUUCUAUAUAAAUUUCUUUUUAUUUUUGCAGCUCUGAUGAAAAAUGAAAAUGAAUUAUUUUUGCAGAUCUGAAUAAAAAUGAAAAUGAAGGAGGAAGAAUGAGGAAAACACCCAAAAUUUCCAUGAAAACACUCAAGAUUGAAUAGAAUUAGAAAUUUUGGGGGAAAAAAAUCUGAAUUAAAGGGAAGAACCGAAAGGUGAACAUGAAGAAAGAAGAACUGAGAUGAAUUUUUGAAAGAGAACUUCAAAGAGGAAUUUUUGGAAAAGAACUUCAAAGCCAUCGAAUAAUUGACAUGUUGGAGUCUUCUUAUUUUAAUUACCUUUUAUGUUUGUAUUAAUUACUAAUAAUUAAAAGAGAAGUUCUAG